AUAUCAAUAAGCGGAGGAAAAGAAACCAACAGGGAUUGCCUCAGUAACGGCGAGUGAAGCGGCGACAGCUCAAAUUUGAAAUCUGGCUCUUUCAGAGUCCGAGUUGUAAUUUGUAGAGGAUGCUUCGGGGUCGGCUCCGGUCUAAGUGCCUUGGAACAGGACGUCAUAGAGGGUGAGAAUCCCGUAUGUGACCGGCCGUCUUCUCCAUGUGAAGCUCCUUCGACGAGUCGAGUUGUUUGGGAAUGCAGCUCUAAAUGGGAGGUAAAUUUCUUCUAAAGCUAAAUAUUGGCCAGAGACCGAUAGCGCACAAGUAGAGUGAUCGAAAGAUGAAAAGCACUUUGAAAAGAGAGUUAAAAAGUACGUGAAAUUGUUGAAAGGGAAGCGCUUGCAACCAGACUUGCCCGCAGUUGCUCAACCGGCCUUCUGGCUCGGUGCACUCUUCUGCGGUCAGGCCAGCAUCGGUUCGGGCGGCCGGAUAAAGGCCUUGGGAAUGUGGCUUCCUUCGGGAGGUGUUAUAGCCCUCGGUGCAAUGCGGCCAGCCUGGACCGAGGUCCGCGCUUCGGCUAGGAUGCUGGCGUAAUGGUUGUAAGCGG
rnacentral:rRNA from 1 species